rnacentral:lncRNA from 1 species
CAAUACCUGUGGAGCCAUCAGCAGGGCUCUGCGAGAAGGCAGGUUGCUGAAAGGAUCCAGGCUACAAACGCCUCGCAAGGCUGCAUGCUGCAGUGUCGGGGUGGGACUGAGAGACGAACAGAAAAAGAGAAAGGAAGAGGGGCUGUAGCAGGUACAACUCCCCUGGCCAUGUGGAAGAGGCCACAGAUGCUUCAGGUGUUUUCAGCUUUGGACCUCAUAAUGACCCUCAUCAGAAGUCUUGUGGGACUUGCUGGCUCCCCGGGGCUCCAGGACCACUCCUGCUCCUCUCAAGGAGGUGAAGCCAGCAGCAAGCAGAGACCCUAUCACCCAUCCUUUCUCCUCUUCCUCCCAUCUGCACUCCAGAACACACUGUGUAUCCAAAUUCAGUUUUGA